GGGGAAUUUUCCGCAAUGGGCGAAAGCCUGACGGCGCAAUACCGCGUGUGGGAUGACGGCCUAUGGGUUGUAAACCUCUUUUUUCAGGGAGGAAACAAAUGACGUUACCUGAAGAAUAAGCAUCGGCUAACUCCGUGCCAGCAGCCGCGGUAAGACGGAGGAUGCAAGUGUUAUCCGGAAUCACUGGGCGUAAAGCGUCUGUAGGUGGUUGAAUAAGUCAACUGUUAAAUCUUGAGGCUCAACCUCAAAACCGCAGUCGAAACUAUUCGACUAGAGUAUAGUAGGGGUAAAGGGAAUUUCCAGUGGAGCGGUGAAAUGCGUAGAGAUUGGAAAGAACACCGAUGGCGAAGGCACUUUACUGGGCUAUUACUAACACUGAGAGACGAAAGCUAGGGUAGCAAAUGGGAUUAGAUACCCCAGUAGUC
rnacentral:rRNA from 1 species